AUGAAAGUGAAAACAUGGAGUAUGAUUUCAAGACUUGCUGCUAUCGAAUACAGAUCGCCCCGUGAUCAAUUUGAUAGAUUAUUAACGUUUAUUAAUACCUAAAGUUGGUUUAGAAAAGUAGUUUGAAGUGAUUUGUAAAAGUAUAUAGGCAACUUUUGUAAUUUUAAAAAGUGACAUUGCGUCUUGUAGAGGGGCAUUUUUCUGGAUCAGACCGGUCUUCAGCAAAUCACAUUUUGGGUAUACAAUGACGGAUUUAAUCGGGAAAAAGACCCAAUUGUGAUGUUUAUGUGACAUAUAGGAGUGCCAAGAAAGAAGCUCGUCAAAGGAAAGAACAUGGACACAAUGCAUUUGGGAUCAAGAAGAAGGACUCGAGACCACAGCAGCGAUCCUGCUCUUGCCCUACUUCUUCAAAGAGGACCAGAGUGGCCUUUGCACAAAUGAUCUGUUUCUUCAUAAACAUAGGUUUCACCGCUCUUCACUCCUUUACUGCACAUUGGCGGAAAUCCAUUUCACCAUGAGAGUGAAAUCCCGCUGGCCUUUGAUGGGGAGAACAUCCACGCCCUAGAGGACGUCCCCAUGGGACUUGGGGCUCUGUUAGGGCUGUAUUUUUUUUUUCCCCUUAAAAUUCCCAAAAAUGUCAGAAAAACACUUAUGUUCUUAAGUUACUGUGUUAAGACAAUUUGGGGUGAAGUUACCAGGGCCGGUCAUAAAGAUGACAAACUUCCUAACAUAACUAAGUGGUUGUUGGGCAAGUGGUUGUUAGACACACACACACACACACACACACACACACACACACACACACACACACUAAAGCUAAAAAAUCUGUAUUUAGCAAGUCUACAACCAUAAUAAAUAAUACAUUAACUUUGUAUAGUGCUUUUCAUUACAUUUAAAAUGUUUUUUUAAUAAUGAUGUACAAUAAAAACAACAUACAUUAAAAAUGAAUCAUAGGUAAACUAACAACUAGUAAACUAGCAAUUUUGUAGUGUGUUUUCUUUGGUAAAUUGUUUUGUAAAUAUUAUUUCACAUUUGUGGUGCCACUAAAUAAACAAUUAAUUAUUUAAUAUUGUUAUUAUUAUUAAAAUAUGCAGAUGCAGAUUAUUUAGCUACCUGACCCAUGAAAAAAGUCACAGCGGGGCUGAUGGAAACAGGAUGUGCCGAUAGAAUUGUAAAAAUACCGACAGACAAUUUGUUCGUUCGACAUGGUGGGAUCUUUUUGUGUCGGCAAAAGUAAUUAUGCGUGAAAUUGCGGUGGAAACGGAUUUAUGCGCAAAUAUUGAUACAGUAUAAUAGGCUAUACCUAUCACGCGAUUAUAUGUUGUUUGGUCCUCCCUCUACGACUCCGGAAACUAUGCAGUUUAUUAGGUUACAGAUGAUAAAUAAUAAAUUAUGAUGAACUUUACAGUGUGGUAAAAGUGCACGUGAUGAGCUUGAUGCUCCUUUCCAAUAAAUAUCAAGGGUCUUAUUCUGGUGACAUGUUACUGGUUGUGACUGCCGU
ensembl:lncRNA